rnacentral:rRNA from 1 species
UACAGAGGUCUCAAGCGUUGUUCGGAUUCAUUGGGCGUAAAGGGUGCGUAGGCGGCGCGGUAAGUCGGGUGUGAAAUCUCGGGGCUUAACUCCGAAACUGCAUUCGAUACUGCCGUGCUUGAGGACUGGAGAGGAGACUGGAAUUUACGGUGUAGCGGUGAAAUGCGUAGAUAUCGUAAGGAAGACCAGUGGCGAAGGCGGGUCUCUGGACAGUUACUGACACUGAGGCUCGAAGGCCAGGGGAGCAAACGGG